GAUGAACGCUGGCGGCGUGCUUAACACAUGCAAGUCGUACGCUCGCAAGAGCGUGGCGAACGGGUGAGUAAUGGCAAGGAACGUGCCUUAUUCCGGGAAAUACCUCGCCGAAAGGCGAGUUAAUGUCCCAUAGUCUCGCAAGAGUAAAGCUCCGGCGGAAUAAGAUCGGCCUUGCUCCUAUCAGCUUGUUGGUGGGGUAACAGCCUACCAAGGCGACGACGGGUAGCUGGUCUGAGAGGAUGAUCAGCCACAUGGGGACUGAGACACGGCCCUAACACCUACGGGUGGCAGCAGUUGGGAAUAUUGCGCAAUGGGCGACAGCCUGACGCAGCGACGCCGCGUGGUCGAAGAAGCCCUUCGGGGUGUAAAGACCUUUUUUAGGGGACGAUUGUGACGGUACCCU
rnacentral:rRNA from 1 species